GAAUAUUGGACAAUGGGUGAAAGCCUGAUCCAGCAAUGCCGCGUGAGUGAUGAAGGCCUUAGGGUUGUAAGGCUCUUUUACCCGGGAUGAUAAUGACAGUACCGGGAGAAUAAGCUCCGGCUAACUCCGUGCCAGCAGCCGCGGUAAUACGGAGGGAGCUAGCGUUGUUCGGAAUUACUGGGCGUAAAGCGCGCGUAGGCGGCUAUUCAAGUCAGAGGUGAAAGCCCGGGGCUCAACCCCGGAAUAGCCUUUGAAACUAGAUAGCUAGAAUCAGGGAGAGGUGAGUGGAAUUCCGAGUGUAGAGGUGAAAUUCGUAGAUAUUCGGAAGAACACCAGUGGCGAAGGCGGCUCACUGGACCAGAAUUGACGCUGAGGUGCGAAAGCGUGGGGAGCAAACAGG
rnacentral:rRNA from 1 species